rnacentral:piRNA from 1 species
AUCCCCGUACGGGCCAGAAAGCCAAGCUGG